CCUCACACCCUCCUUGCAUCCCAACCCUCUUCCCAGCCCUUAGCCCCCUCCCAAACCCCUCAUCCCCAGCUCCACCCUAGAGCCCUCACCCCCAGCCAGAGGGAUGAAAAGAAAACAGAACAAUUUGACCAACGAACAUUUGGACUGCUUUACUGGGCUUGCGAUGACAGAUUACGAAUACUGCAUGAACAAAGUCAAGGAGGAACAGGCACACUUUCGCUCAUCCAGUUUUUAAAAGUUCUGACCUCCCGGAGAUGCUGUUCCCCCAGCUCCCGAGCAGAGGUGCUAGCUCUGAGCCAUGCCCGAGGUGGGUUAGGGCUAAUAAGAGCCGUAUGUGGUUUUUAAGUGAUAAAUUACCUACUGAUGUUUUUCCUUUGCAUUUGUUUUGGGAGGGCUGAGUUAGUCCAGCCAGACUUGUCUUCCGGUUCUUGUGCAUUGCGUGUCCUGGCCUUUGUUUCUAUUAUUACUGGUAAUUAGUGCAUUAGUGUGUCAGGCCUGUUGCUGGGACACCCUCUGCAGACAGCUGGGCGACACGUCAGCUGCUAUGGGGCCUGCUGGAACCAAGGAUGGGUAGUUACGCCAAGCCAUACCUCUGCUGCUGUUAGGCCCGCUAGACACGGACACUGCCUGCCGCUGGCUGGUGAGCAAGUGAGGACAGGAGAGGAGCUGGAGCAUGGAAAGUGUCAUCUGAAAAGCACCAAGGAGCCCCAGUCAUGGGUCACACCGCCACUGUGCCGGGGGCUGUACAAGCACAGAACAAAAAGACCGUUCCUGCCCCCAGAGCUGCCAAGCUGAGGACCGCUUUCCCUGUGACUAGCACUGGGGAGCUGCCGUAGUCGAGGAUUCUGGGUUCCAGUUUUCCCAUGGCAGGCCUGGCCUGCAUCACCAACAUUAUUUCUCUGCGUCAGGGGCUGGCAGCAGGGGCCUAGGUACUAGCCUAGGCAGGGCUCGGGCAUUUUACCACCACCGGGUGGCUGUGUGUGAGACCGCGGUAGCAAUGCCUGCACUGGGCCUACCCUAGUGCUUGCUGUGUUGCUAGCACUGGAGCAGUGCAUAGUUGCUGGCACUUACUGAAAUACGAGCAGUGGCUUUGCUAGGGCAGAUGCUGCUUUGCAAACUCACCUUGUAUCUCACUCACGUUAAAGCCUGAGUCCACAGAGGAGCAUCAGAUCAACAAGUUCAGCCUGGGAUGGAUCGACAAGUGUCCUCUGCCAGGAACCUCCUGCUUCAGGGCUGUUUAAAAGCCAAGGACAAAGCAUUUACUGUGUGUUCUGUUGCAAUGUGCAUGACUGGGGCAUUUAGUCCUCUCAUAAACCAUGAAUCAAUCUGUGCUGGGCUUGGCUGAAUUGGACACUCGUUGUUAUGGUAUUUACCUGGGAGCUGGGGAUACAGCUUUAUUACCCCUGGCAGGCUAGCUAGUCCACAGAGCAAUCUAUUACGUACUCGUGUCCUGUACGGCGAGCGGCCUGUCAACUUGUGCUCCGCUGAAGCCAUGGCAAGACACUAGGCCAAUUCCCUUUUGUUGGGCCACCCGUGUUGUGCCAUUUGCAGCUGCACAAAGUAGAUGCAGAGCACUGCCAUUGUGCCAGGCUGGCAGCAGUGUGACAUAGAGUGCAGGGGCGCAGAAUUGGGCCCAUUUUCUGCCGUGGGAGCAGGAAUGGGGACAGCUGGAGAGGCUGACAGGACUGCAUGGGAUAUUUGACACCACGUUCAAAAAGCCUCAGCACUAUUUAUUUUAAUAUUGAAAAAUUUGGUCCAGUUUAAAAACAAAAAACUCCAAAGGCCCUGCUGUUUUGUUGCUUGGGGUCACGUUUGAGAAUAGCAACGAGACACUUUUCACCCAGAUGUGAUGUGAGUCUUCAGUAAAAACCAUGACAUGUUAUAAGAGCUGGUGGGGAAAUGUUUUUGUUUUGUUCUUCCCCUGGGGGGAAAUUGUGACAAAUGAAGGGGGGGGGAAAUCCCACUGAAAACCCCCAUACUCAUUUGUGGGUUUUAUUGUUUGUUUUUUUGUGUGAAACUUUUGAGCCACAAACAUAAUAAUUGUCAAGUUUUGGAUAAAAUUUUUCAGCUUUGGAGUUUUUUUUUUUUUUAUGAAAAUGUCAAAGGAAAGGACACAUUGGCUGUGGGACACCUUUUAUUUAGUUGAAUUCUCAAGUUUCUAUUUUUUUAAAAAAAGGAGAAUUUGGGAUCAGCUUUACAAGCCCCAUGUACAGUGGGGUUUUGCCCCAGUUCCAGGCAUGAUUGUAACCACACAGGUACAAGCCCUGAGUGCAGACAAAGGGCUGCUCCACCCUGAACACUUCUUGCUGGCAUAGCUCUGUUAGUCAGGGUGUGACUUAUUUUACCAACAGAGCUGCACUGGCAAAAUCCCUAGUGUAGACACAGUUAUACAAGCACAAAGGCCUUCUGCCAGUAUAGCUCAUUUCAUUUGGGGAACCCGUUUCCCAGAAUAAGCUGCAUCUGAUUAGCUGUACCAGCAAAACCUGUCUGGUAUAGACAAGGCUGAAGGAAACCACUAAUAGUCACCCUUUGCAUCAAUGCCCUGAUUCUCCACACCCUGCACCCAGUGUUGUCAUUGAGUCCAGUGCAAAGUGAGUAACAGUGGCACCACUUUCUACUCAGUUCACACUCAGCACAGGUGUCAAUGUGGAUACAGUUGGGUGACUCUGCAAGGCAGGUCAGGUCAAGACUGGGGCAGUUUUUGCCAUUCACACAUUUCAAUGUGAAAAAGGCCUUUGAACAAAAAUCCCUCCAAGUGAAAGUGGGGUGGACUGCAAAAUUACAAAUCUGUGCAAGUUAGUGGCACAAACAUUGCCUGUGUUCUGGUAGUCUAGAACUUACUGUAACCAGGGACCUGCCCAAAGCCCCAAAGGGGGACUUGGGCACCUAACUCUGGAGUUUAGGCUCUUACGUCGCAUCGUGGAUAGCACCCUAGUGAUUAGCAUUCCCUAGUGCCACACAGAUCCAAGGGACCAUUAGAUCAUCUAAGUGCCUGGAUAGCACAGCCCAUUACAUUUCACCCAGCUACCCCAGUGUUGAGCCCAAUAAGUUGUGUUCAGCUAAAGCACAUUCCAGAAAGCCAGGCAGGAGUGGAAGCCAUCAAGAGAUGGAGAAUCCAUCGCUUCCCUGGGGAAUUUGUUCCAGGGGUUAAUCACUAGGGGUCUGCUUAAAUUACAGAGAAAUACACAUUUUUCUAGGGGUUGGGAAUGGCAUAAAUAGCACAUUUAGCUGAUCACAUCCAUUAAAUGUGCUAUUUAUGCUGUGACCAACCCAUGAAAAAUGUGUGAUUUCUCUGCAGUGUUUCUCAAACUGGGGGCCCUGGCCCAAAAGGAGGUCACAAGCCUAUGGUGGGAGGCUCACAGCAUUGCCUCCCUUAUCUCUGUGCUGCUGCUGGCAACAGCGCUGCCUGACGCUGGGCAGCAGGAGAGCGGCGGCUGCUGGCUGGGUGCCCAGCUCUGAAGGCAGAGCCAUGGCCCGCAGCAGUAAAGAGGUAAGGAGGCAAUAGCGUACCAUGCCACCAUUACUUCUCCACUCUGCCUUCAGAGCUGGAGGCUGGAGACUAGAUUUCAUGGGCUGUGACACGAUUUUCAUGGCUGCAAAUUCUGUAGACCCCUCUUAAUCACCUUCAGUGGUAGACACUAAUUCCUAAUUUCUAAUUUGAAUUUGUCUGGCUUCAGCUUCCAGCCCUUGGUUCUUUUUUUGCUUCCCUCCCCUUGGUUAAAGACCUCUUUAGUACUCAGUAUUUUUUCCCAGUGAAGGUCCUUAUACCCUGAAAUCAAGUCUCCUCUCAGUCUUUUUGAUAAGCUAAGUGGAGAUUUAAAGAGCAUGAUCUCACUGUCAGACAUUUUCUCCAGCCCCCAUUUUUCUGGCUCUUUUCUGCACCCAGCUCAACUUUUCAACACCCCUUUAAAAAUGCAGACUCCCGAACUGUCCGUAGUGUUCCAGUACCAGUCUCACAAGUGCCCCUGGGCAACGGCCUUUCUCCAGCAUGCGAAGACUGUUCCGGUGGACUGGGCGGAGGAAAUCAAUUUGUGAUUCAACAGCCACAGCAACAGCAAGGCGGUUCAGCAACGUGCUGUGUGCUGCGGAGAGCAUGAAAAGCGUGGAAGAUGUGCUGGUCACCCACUGCAGCUAAGGAAGUCCCCAGCCGUAACGAUUCUUCGUGCCUCUGGAAUCUGGCUUCCACAGCUGGAGAGUGGGACUGCCCCUGUGCAACAGCUUUCUCGCGCAAAAAUUUCCCGCACCAGAUGCUGAUGGUGGUGGUGGUGGUGGGUGGGUUUGCUAAGCCCCGCCCCCUCAGAGAUAGACACCUAGCUCUGCUUGGAAACCUGCUGCCUGGAGUCUGGACGCUUAGGCACCGAAGGCAUUUCUUGUGCCUACCUCGCCCCACCCAAAAUGGCUGGAGGAGCCACAGCACCUGGUAACUUGUAUUAUAGUGCUUAGAGCACACUCCCGGGGUGUGGGAGACCCAGGCUGCAUUCCCCUCCCUCUGCCUGAUGGGGAAGAGGGAUUUGAACAGGGGUCUCCCGCCUCUCAGGAAGGCAUGCUAACCACCAGGCUACGGACACGCUGCUGUGGGGCUUGCUCAGUCCCUCCUGGUGAAGCUGUACCUUUCUGGAUAAAUAAUGACAGGCUGGCCUGAGCAGGGGACCAGACCCAGGGCCUCCCAUCUCCCACGGGUGCCCUAAUGACUGGCUGCAAGUCGCUCUCACCCUCCUCCCUCCCACUACUGGCCUAACGGCUAUUUAAAUAAUUGUCCCCUCCUCCUCCUCCAGCCAGAUUCUGAGUGGGAGCCAAGCUGGUAGGCGUGGUCAGAGGACCUAGGCGGCCGGACACCUAUCUUGCCCUUGUCCGCGAAUUGCUCUGAGGCUCAGCUGGGAGAUUAGGUCCAGACACCUAGAGGGAGGCAGCAGCGCACAUGCCCCAGGGUGAGGCGCCGAGUGAAUUUCGGCACCUCUAGGGUGAGGUAACAGCCAAGCAGGAGUGGUGCAUGUGUGUUUUCACUGCAAAUGCAAGGUGUGUUCUUAGCUCAGGUCAGCUAACCUGGGUUCAAACAGCAGUGCAGACACAGUGACUUGGGUUAGUGGCUUAGGUUAAAGUCUGCGGGCGAGUCUGAAGGUGAAUUUGAACUGCUAAACCAAGUUUAAAGCCGAGUUGCCAUGUCUUCACUGUAUCUGAACCCAAGCUGCUAACCCGAAUCCAGAACAUGCCUUUUCCAUAGGGAGGGCAUAGCUGGUGUUGAUUAAUCUUAGUGUGGGAAACAAGGCUGAAGUGUGAUUCUUUCUCUCUUAUCUGAGAGAUUUGCAAUAUAUGCCCCGUGAUGAGGAGUUUGAAAUGGAAUAAACAAAUAGCAGAGAUGGAAGUCCAUCUUGAAUAAAUUUUCCUGCCAGUUAUUUAUGGUGGGUUCUGAUCAAAUUAGCCACCUAGACUCGCCAAAAGCCUUCAGAGUAAGGGGCAGAAAUUGUUGUGGUGUGUACCAUGAAACUAAUUGGUUCCUGAUCAGAUAAAACAGAACAUCAAAUUAACGAGGGAAUAAGUUAUAUGGUAAACCUUUGCCAUUGCUCUCUAUACCAGAUGCAUUUCAGGUUAUGAUGUGAUUAGCCCAUCCUGAAAAAAGGGUUGUUUUUUUUGCUUCAGUUUAGAAAGGGAACAAAAUUAAAACCAACAAGCCCAAAAGUUUGCACCAGUAUCAUAUUGACAGCGUGUUCGGCUUUCAGCGGGGGGGGGCGUGUUCGGCUUUCAGCGAGGGGGGGGGGGCUCAAAGCAUUUACAGCCACCAAUUUAUUAAGCCACACAAUCCCCUGUGAAACAGACAAAUUACACAGAUGGGUCACUGGAUGGAUUACCUGGUUUGUUCAUUCUCUCUGAAGCACCUGGCAUUGGCCACUGGGCUAGAUGGACCAUUAGUCCGACCCAGUAUAGCUGUUCUUAUGGAGAAACUGAGGCACAGAGGUGAAUGUUAGUUCAAGGUCACACAAGAAGUCAGAGGCACAACCAGGAAAAGAACCCAGGCUGUGUGUCCCUACCACUUGGCAAUACACCCAGUCACAAGCCUACAGACUCUGCUGUAGCGCUGCGUCAGAUCCUGAUCUUAUUACAUGGGGUUAUGUCAGAUUUACAGAAAUUGAAAUCAUUGAGUUACUCCAGCAAGUUGACACUGGAGUAACGAGCUCAGAAUCUGGCCCAGGACUUCUGAUGUCAUUUGUAAAGGCAGAGAGAAAACAGUCACUGUUCUACUCAAUGUUGCAAUUUCAGGUGGCUGCGUUUCAUCCUGAUGGUGUUUAAUGUAAUCAUUUUACAGUUCCUCUUUCUCUCUCAUUGGCCAAAGGCCUGCGGCCCCAAACAUUGUUUUAUGCAUCAUUAUGGUGCUUACUAUAGAAAUAAACAAACUCUAAACCCCUGUUACAUUCCAAGUGCUUACAUGGUUUAAAAACAAGACUCUACUUCCAUUACUCAUCUGCUUUUUAUAGGUGCUGUUAGUGCCAAGAGAUUCUGGAGUGAUGAUGUUCAGUGGCCACCACCUUCUUUUCAGCCAAGAAUGAGACAUGUCACUGCUGCUAAAGGCCUGGCUGGGACAGUGCUUGCCAGGCAGUGCCCCGAGCUCUGGGCAAUAUCUUAGCACACUGUGGCUCAGGAUUUUCAUGGGGCAGUGCAGGCUGGUCUGGUGUCAGCAUUCCCAGCCACCAGUGAAGGAGCCAGGAAAGGAAGCUGCCAGUCCAUGCUGGAACCCAGGAAUCCUGCCACUGGCGCUGGAGCCAAUGAAGCUUGGGGUGAGCCAUCCAUUUAGGAAUUGCAGCUGACCAGCCCCGGAGCCAGUGAGCCCCUCAGCCAGCCCAUAAGCAGCGUUUCAAGAGGCAGGGUGAAGCCUUUGUACAUUCAUUCUGAGAUGGGAGGUCAGAGCUGUCCUGGGGAAAAGAAGAGGCGCUCGAAUGUAAAGCCCACCACAGUCAAGGCGUGCUUGUGGGUGAAGACGGCUGUGAUGAGGAGCAGCCCAGUGAUAACGGGUGGAACUGGAAGUGAAGGGUAGACACCGCAGAGGAUCUGUGACUUCAGCGAGCAGCUGAACCGACCACAAGGCAUUGUUCCAGACCCCAAGCUUUAGAGUGUCCUUUAAAGCCAAGGGCAGCUGCUUGUGCUCAGCACCUCUGAAAAGCCCCGGAUCCUUGGCCGCUUUUGAAAAUGUAGCUACAUGUGACCCAGCAAAAGCUGCAGGGAGAGUCAGUGUCCAAGCUGGCGUUAGGAUACCCAGCCCGCGUCUGGAGGCUGCCAAGGCCAACCUGGACAGGCUUCAAGCAGACAGUUUGUCAUCAGCCGUAGGUGUGAUCGGAACGUGCCUCUGAGCGAGAGCUCAGAACAGAACGGAGCGUGAAAUCUGAGUCCCAUCACAAACGCUGAGCUCAUGCAGUCACUAUGCAAACAACUGCCUCCCUCCAUUUAGCUCUGUGAACCCAGCCUGGGGGAGUGACUCUGCAUGUUGAUGGUGGAGCCCCCACCCAACAGGAGCCAUUUUUAGACAUGAUUUAAGUGCCCACAUAACCUGAAUGCCCAGGCCAGUGUGUGCUUUAAGAACUGUACGGUCUGUGAUACUUAUCAAACAGAACAUGAGGCCUUUAUGUGUUGAUCUUUAUGAGGUCCCUGGGCCUGUCCUGUUACUGCCUGACUGCUCCAUCCAGAGGGGUGUGGAAGAGCAAUGCGGGGCUGCCUUGCUGGUCUUCUUGCUAGUCUGCAACUAGUCUGUCAGAUUCUGACCCUUCUGUGGGAGAUCAAAAAGCCAAGAAGGUGAAAGGGGCCCACGUGAUCUUGCACUGCUAGGACUCCCUAGGGAAGUCCAAGUCCCCAUAUUUCCUGUAUCAAACACUGUCCCUUUUUAAUACACCCUUGGUGUGUGGUGAAUAAACCUCCAUCCCCAGAGUGCUCCAAGGUGGGUCCCAUUUAAUGGAAGCCGCUCCUGACUCCUUGAGCCAGGAUUCUGCCUGCCUUGUCUGAGUGAUUCCCAGCAUCUAAUUAUCCCCAGCCUGGUCCCUAGGAUAGCUUCACAGUCACCCACAUGCAGCUUUCUAUAUGUGCUGCAUGCUCUUAGCCAUGAGACUGACGCGAUUAUUGGGGGCCCUCAAAACUGUGAGCCACUCCGAGAUGCUGCCUGGCUCGUGGCAGGUGCUCACACACAUUGCCCCAAAUAGGGCUGGGGGGUUUCCCAGGAAAUUUUGAAAUUUCAAACUUUUAUUUCCAAAUUUCCUUUGAAAAAUUGUCUGUAACUAUCUGGGGCGUCCCCUCCUUUUCCGAGAUAGAGGGAAAAGGGUUUGAAAAACCCAAAUGAUGCCCAUUCCUAUGCAUGUUGACAGAACAAGGAGUAAUGGUCUCAAGUUGCAGUGGGGGAGGUUUAGGCUGGAUAUUAGGAAACACUGUUUCACUAGGAGGGUGGUGAAGCACUGGA